rnacentral:rRNA from 1 species
UACGUAGGGUGCAAGCGUUGUCCGGAAUUAUUGGGCGUAAAGAGCUCGUAGGCGGUUUGUCGCGUCGAAUGUGAAAACCCGGGGCUCAACCCCGGGCCUGCAUUCGAUACGGGCAGACUAGAGUUCGGUAGGGGAGACUGGAAUUCCUGGUGUAGCGGUGAAAUGCGCAGAGAUCAGGAGGAACACCGGUGGCGAAGGCGGGUCUCUGGGCCGAUACUGACGCUGAGGAGCGAAAGCGUGGGGAGCGAACAGG